GUGGAUUAGAUACCCUAGUAGUCCACGCCCUAAACGAUGUCAACUGGUUGUUGGGAGGGUAAACCUCUUAGUAACGAAGCUAACGCGAGAAGUUGACCGCCUGGGGAGUACGGUCGCAAGAUUAAAACUCAAAGGAAUUGACGGGGACCCGCACAAGCGGGGGAUUAUGUGGAUUAAUUCGAUGCAACGCGAAAAACCUUACCUACCUUUGACAUGUCGAGAAUCCUGCAGAGAUGCGGGAGUGCCUUCGGGAACUCGAACACAGGUGCUGCACGGUCGUCGUCAACU
rnacentral:rRNA from 1 species